UACGGGGGGUGCGAGCGUUGUCCGGAUUCACUGGGCGUAAAGGGCGCGUAGGCGGCCUGAUCAGUCGAACCUUUAAGAGCGGGGGCUCACCCCCGUGGUGGGUUCGGGACGGUUGGGCUGGGGCGCGGCAGAGGGGGACGGAAUGCCGGGUGUAGUGGUGAAAUGCGUAGAGAUCCGGCGGAACACCGGUGGUGAAGACGGUCCCUGGGCCGACGGCCGACGCUGAGGCGCGAGAGCGCGGGGAGCGAACCGG
rnacentral:rRNA from 1 species